UACGUAGGGUGCAAGCGUUGUCCGGAAUUAUUGGGCGUAAAGAGCUCGUAGGCGGUCUGUCGCGUCGGCUGUGAAAUCUCGGAGCUUAACUCCGAAACUGCAUUCGAUACUGCCGUGCUUGAGGACUGGAGAGGAGACUGGAAUUUACGGUGUAGCGGUGAAAUGCGUAGAUAUCGUAAGGAAGACCAGUGGCGAAGGCGGGUCUCUGGACAGUUCCUGACGCUGAGGCACGAAGGUCAGGGGGAGCAAACGGGG
rnacentral:rRNA from 1 species